GAUGAACGCUGGCGGCGUGCCUAAUACAUGCAAGUCGAGCGAUUGGAUUAAGAGCUUGCUCUUAUGAAGUUAGCGGCGGACGGGUGAGUAACACGUGGGUAACCUGCCCAUAAGACUGGGAUAACUCCGGGAAACCGGGGCUAAUACCGGAUAACAUUUUGAACCGCAUGGUUCGAAAUUGAAAGGCGGCUUCGGCUGUCACUUAUGGAUGGACCCGCGUCGCAUUAGCUAGUUGGUGAGGUAAUGGCUCACCAAGGCAACGAUGCGUAGCCGACCUGAGAGGGUGAUGGGCCACACUGGGACUGAGACACGGCCCAGACUCCUACGGGAGGCAGCAGUAGGGAAUCUUCCGGAAUGGACGAAAGUCUGACGGAGCAACGCCGCGUGAGUGAUGAAGGCUUUCGGGUCGUAAAACUCUGUUGUUAGGGAAGAACAAGUGCUAGUUGAAUAAGCUGGCACCUUGACGGUACCUAACCAGAAAGCCACGGCUAACUACGUGCCAGCAGCCGCCGUAA
rnacentral:rRNA from 1 species